rnacentral:lncRNA from 1 species
GCGUGAGCUGUGGGUUUUAGGGUUUCAUCUCUAGAUUUUGUGAGAAGAAAAAUACAAGAGUGAGUCUUGUCUAAUCUUUCACACCACCACCUCCUUGUAAAGCUUCAUCUUAUAAUCUGAAAUAAUUUGAGAGAUCUGAAGAAAGGAGCUUAGAUCAGCUAUCCAGAUCCUUCGAUGUGAGCUAGCACUCCCGCGAAGGAAGAUCCGAUUAGAGCUUCGAGUGGA